rnacentral:rRNA from 1 species
UACGAAGGGUGCAAGCGUUGUUCGGAUUCACUGGGCGUAAAGGGUGAGUAGGCGGUCAUAUAUGUCGGGUGUGAAAUCCUGGGGCUUAACCCCAGAACUGCGCUCGAAACUAUUUGACUAGAGUCUCGGAGAGGACAGUGGAAUUCCUAGUGUAGCGGUGAAAUGCGUAGAUAUUAGGAGGAACACCAGUGGCGAAGGCGACUCUCUAGCCUGUUUCUGACGCUGAGGAGCGAAAGCCGGGGGAGCGAACGGG